GCUUAAUUUGACUCAACGCGGGAAAUCUUACCGGGUCCGGACACACUGAGGAUUGACAGAUAUAUACCCCGUGAUUUUAUCGCGGGGUUGAAAGAUGCUAGUUCUUUCAUGAUUAUGUGAUAGGUGGUGCAUGGCCGUUCUUAGUUCGUGGAGUGAUCUGUCUGCUUAAUUGCGUAUCAAUAAUAGAGACCUAGUAUACGCGUAGACUCAUGCGGUAGUGACCCCCCUUCACAGGGCGCGUGUCGCACGUAUGUUAUACGCACAGGUCUCCGAUAGCAACGAACGUGACCGUACUCUAUUGUUGCAGCGACAAUACCUUUCAACGGGUAUUACCGCUGCUUAGCAAGAUUCGUCUUGCAUUAAACUAUAGAGACCGCUGUUUCUUCUUUAAACCAGAGGAAGGAUACGGCAAUAACA
rnacentral:rRNA from 1 species